rnacentral:rRNA from 1 species
GAUGAACGCUGGCGGCGUGCCUAAUACAUGCAAGUCGAGCGAACGGACGAGAAGCUUGCUUCUCUGAUGUUAGCGGCGGACGGGUGAGUAACACGUGGAUAACCUACCUAUAAGACUGGGAUAACUUCGGGAAACCGGAGCUAAUACCGGAUAAUAUAUUGAACCGCAUGGUUCAAAAGUGAAAGACGGUCUUGCUGUCACUUAUAGAUGGAUCCGCGCUGCAUUAGCUAGUUGGUAAGGUAACGGCUUACCAAGGCAACGAUGCAUAGCCGACCUGAGAGGGUGAUCGGCCACACUGGAACUGAGACACGGUCCAGACUCCUACGGGAGGCAGCAGUAGGGAAUCUUCCGCAAAGGGCGAAAGCCUGACGGAGCAACGCCGCGUGAGUGAUGAAGGUCUUCGGAUCGUAAAACUCUGUUAUUAGGGAAGAACAUAUGUGUAAGUAACUGUGCACGUCUUGACGGUACCUAAUCAGAAAGCCACGGCUAACUACGUG